UACAGAGGUCUCAAGCGUUGUUCGGAUUCAUUGGGCGUAAAGGGUGUGUAGGUGGCGCCGUAAGUCGGGUGUGAAAUUUCGGAGCUUAACUCCGAAACUGCAUUCGAUACUGCGGUGCUUGAGGACUGGAGAGGAGACUGGAAUUCAUGGUGUAGCAGUGAAAUGCGUAGAGAUCAUGAGGAGGACCAGUGGCGAAGGCGGGUCUCUGGACAGUUCCUGACGCUGAGGCACGAAGGCCGGGGAGCAAACGGG
rnacentral:rRNA from 1 species